rnacentral:rRNA from 1 species
AUUGAACGCUGGCGGCAUGCUUAACACACGCAAGUCGAACGGUAACAGGCCCUUCGGGGUGCUGACGAGUGGCGGACGGGUGAGUAACGCUUAGGAAUCUACCUAGUAGUGGGGGAUAACCCGGGGAAACUCGGGCUAAUACCGCGUACGCCCUACGGGGGAAAGCGGGGGACUUUCGGGCCUCGCGCUAUUAGAUGAGCCUAAGUCCGAUUAGCUAGUUGGUAGGGUAAUGGCCUACCAAGGCGACGAUCGGUAGCUGGCUGAGAGGACGACCAGCCACACUGGGACUGAGACACGGCCCAGACUCCUACGGGAGGCAGCAGUGGGGAAUUUUGGACAAUGGGGGCAACCCUGAUCCAGCCAUGCCG